UACGAAGGGGGCUAGCGUUGCUCGGAAUCACUGGGCGUAAAGCGCACGUAGGCGGCUUACUAAGUCAGGGGUGAAAUCCUGGAGCUCAACUCCAGAACUGCCUUUGAUACUGGUGAGCUUAAGUCCGGAAGAGGUGAGUGGAACUGCGAGUGUAGAGGUGAAAUUCGUAGAUAUUCGCAAGAACACCAGUGGCGAAGGCGGCUCACUGGUCCGGUACUGACGCUGAGGUGCGAAAGCGUGGGGAGCAAACAGG
rnacentral:rRNA from 1 species